GACAGGAAAGAAACCAUCUGCCAAACCCCUGAGCCACAAACUGCCAAGGAACUCCAUACGUUCUUAGGAAUGGACAGGAUGGUGCCAACUGUGGAUACACAGCUAUGGACUGUUGUUCCAGGUACCUGUCCCAGAAGAGAAGAACUACAUCUCCCAGAGGACUGUUCGCUGUUCUGUUACCAUUUUCGCUCAGAGGGAAAAGAUAAAAACUGUUCGUAGAUAGAAGACGCCAUUUUUUUCCUUUUUAACCAUCUGACUUGUCUCUGUUUGCCGGUGCCAUAUCACUCCAGCUUACUUAGAGUAAGGCCUUUGGUUCUUGGACACUCUCUCAUUUUAUUUAUUAUCAUAAAUUCUAAUUAUAUUGUAUUAGAUUCCAUUAUAGUGUGUUAUCUUGCAUUCUGAUAUCUUAUUUAGUAAAUUAGUUUGUUACUUCUCAGAUCGUAGCCUCUGCUAUUUUUUUAGGCUCAUUUCUCUACCCUUUACCCUGAAUAAAGCGCUAAUUUGUUAUAUCGUUAAAAUUGUCCAAGUAGUUCAGCACGAACAAUGGGAAAGAUAUGGGGUACAUCAACCGUAACCCGAGGAGCCUGCUAAUUGGUCCAAGGAGCCACAUCCUAGAAACCAUCCUAGAAACUGAACCAGUUGAAGCUGGAAUACUUCCUCAACUACACCGGGGUCAGAAGUACACUGCGAGGAUGACAUAUGGCCUUCAUCCCCACAACCCCUGGGGUGACUACCAGGAGGCAACACGCAUGCGCAAAAGCAUUAAUUAGGGGUGAAGUUCAGGGUGUAGAAUGGGCAUGGAAUAUUGUAAUGAAUUCCCAGAAGUAAUUGUAAUAAUCACUCCUUGUCUAAGAAAUACUAUGAAUAUGUAUGUAUAUCUUCUAUAAAUAAAGAUGUUUACCUGCUUUUGGCGUGCAGGUUAGGAAGGGCCUACCCCCCCUGCACCCGGAGUGCGUGCAGCGCUGAAUAAACAUACCUGCUUUAUAAC